rnacentral:rRNA from 1 species
AUUGAACGCUGGCGGAAUGCUUUACACAUGCAAGUCGAACGGCAGCACGGGGUCAACCCUGGUGGCGAGUGGCGAACGGGUGAGUAAUACAUCGGAACGUGCCCAGUCGUGGGGGAUAACGUAGCGAAAGUUACUCUAAUACCGCAUACGAUCUAUGGAUGAAAGCGGGGGACCGUAAGGCCUCGCGCGAUUGGAGCGGCCGAUGUCAGAUAGGUAGUUGGUGGGGUAAAGGCUCACCAAGCCGACGAUCUGUAGCUGGUCUGAGAGGACGACCAGGCACACUGGGACUGAGACACGGCCCAGACUCCUACGGGAGGCAGCAGUGGGGAAUUUUGGACAAUGGGCGCAAGCCUGAUCCAGCCAUUCCGCGUGCAGGAUGAAGGCCUUCGGGUUGUAAACUGCUUUUGUACGGAACGAAAAGGCUCUGGUUAAUACCUGGGGCUCAUGACGGUACCGUAAGAAUAAGCACCGGCUAACUACGUGCCAGCAGCCGCGGUAAUAC